GAUGAACGCUGGCGGCGUGCCUAAUACAUGCAAGUCGAGCGAACAGAUGAGGAGCUUGCUCCUCUGACGUUAGCGGCGGACGGGUGAGUAACACGUGGAUAACCUACCUAUAAGACUGGGAUAACUUCGGGAAACCGGAGCUAAUACCGGAUAAUAUAUUGAACCGCAUGGUUCAAUAGUGAAAGACGGUUUUGCUGCCACUUAUAGAUGGAUCCGCGCCGCAUUAGCUAGUUGGUAAGGUAACGGCUUACCAAGGCAACGAUGCGUAGCCGACCUGAGAGGGUGAUCGGCCACACUGGAACUGAGACACGGUCCAGACUCCUACGGCAGGCAGCAGUAGGGAAUCUUCCGCAAUGGGCGAAAGCCUGACGGAGCAACGCCGCGUGAGUGAUGAAGGUCUUCGGAUCGUAAAACUCUGUUAUUAGGGAAGAACAAAUGUGUAAGUAACUAUGCACGUCUUGACGGUACCUAAUCAGAAAGCCACGGCUAACUACGUG
rnacentral:rRNA from 1 species